AUUGAACGCUGGCGGCAGGCCUAACACAUGCAAGUCGAGCGGGGUUUUCGGACCUAGCGGCGGACGGGUGAGUAAUGCGUAGGAAGCUGCCCGAUAGAGGGGGAUACCAGUUGGAAACGACUGUUAAUACCGCAUAAUGUCUACGGACCAAAGUGUGGGACCUUCGGGCCACAUGCUAUCGGAUGCGCCUACGUGGGAUUAGCUAGUUGGUGGGGUAAUGGGUCACCAAGGCGACGAUCUCUAGCUGGUUUGAGAGGAUGAUCAGCCACACUGGAACUUGGACACGGUCCAGACUCCUACGGGAGGCAGCAGUGGGGAAUAUUGGACAAUGGGCGCAAGCCUGAUCCAGCCAUGCCGCGUGUGUGAAGAAGGCCUUCGGGUUGUAAAGCACUUUCAGCGAGGAGGAAGGGUGGUGUGUUAAUAGCACAUCAUUUUGACGUUACUCGCAGAAGAAGCACCGGCUAACUCUGUGCCAGCAGCCGCCGCAGUA
rnacentral:rRNA from 1 species